rnacentral:lncRNA from 1 species
GACAGAAAACUUUUUUUUUCAAAAAUUUCCGGCCUUGAAUUUAAGUUAGCAUUUACAACAUAUGGAAGAAGAGAAACUAAUAUAAUUCAAUCUUUUUUGUUCCAGUGAUGUAAACAAAGAUGAAAACAUAUGAUUCUAAUUAGUUUUUGAAGAUCUACAUAAAAAGAAUAUAGAUGUAGAAUAAAACAAAACAUAAAAAUAUUUAACGGUUGAUCUAACAUUUUUCAUCUUUUUAUGGAUCUAGAGCAAUAAAAAUAAAAAAAAAAUUAAAGGCUCGACAAAUAAAGCUCAUGUUUCUUCUUUUCCCUCUUCUUCUCCUUCUUCUUCUUUGUCUUUUUCUCUUUUUGUCUUUUUCUUAAUCUUCAACUUCAUCUUCUUCUUCACUUCAUUUUUCAUUCUUCUUCUUCAUCUUUUUCUUCUUCCUCUCUAAAAAUAUUUUCUUCAUCUGCCUAUCCUUUUUUUUCUUGAAACAACCAUCAUCAUUUUCUCUUUUUUUUAGUUGUGCAAAAAUCUAAAGAUUGAAAUUUAAAAGAGAGGGAUAAAAUUUAAGUAGAUAAUAGAAAGUUUUGGAGAGUAAAAAGUUUGAAAAGAUGAAAAAGAAGAAGAAAGGGAUAGGAAGUUUUUAUGGAUUUCAAUCAAGGGUUAUGAUCAAAUGAGAUGACAAUCCAUUUCUUCACUUAUGAGUUAAUGAAAAGAAGGCAUUUAUUAAUUUACAUUCCGUUCUGGCGGUUCCGUUUUCGCGGUUAUGAACCCCUAGAACAUAUGACAGAAAUAUUUGACGGAACAAGUUCCUCCAAGCGCACUAAUCUUUUUAAAACAAAUCAAACUCUAUUUUCGAGGUUCCGUUCUAGC